GGAGAUAGACCCCUUCAUCAGACCAAACGGUGCAACCCCCAUCCCCGAAUUCUCUGAAGAACAAAAAAAAAACCUUCCUUCUUUACAACCAGAAAAUCCCCUCCCAAGCAAAAAUAGCGACCUCCCUUCCUCAUAUUCUAUCGCUCAACAGAACAGAGCAUACACACACACAAAAUCAUUCAGCGCCAAAAAAAAAGCAAGAAGAAAAUUUGAAGUUCCAAAAGUUUGGAAAGCUGAAAAUGAUAAAACAGAUUUCAAGCUGAUUUCCGUGGCGUUAUCUCCUUAAUUUCUGGGUUUUUGAGUUUAUUACGAAAUGGGAAUUUAAAGCUACGUGUUGUUGAUUCUGCUGUUGCCGAGCUCCGAUUUUCUGUUUUCCUAGCCUUGACUUGGCUUAAUCUAGUCAUUUCUUUUGUAGGUAAAUACGAAACCAUGUAUUUACUUGAAAUUUGAAUGAUCAAAAAAUGUUGAAAUCUGGAAUGAAGAUUGUUUCUGUUGUUUAGUUUCCACUUAUGUGAUUUUGUUAAGAUAAAUUGCUUAUUAGAUUUAGAUAUGCUCAUUUUUGACUUAUUCAGUGAUUAAGUGUUCCUUUUGCUAUUUUAGGUAUUUUCGCUGCUUGAUACUGUUAAAAUUGAUUGGCUAGGAAGAAGGCUGAAUACUCUUCAAUCUUAUUUAUUUAAACUGGCAUGUGUAAAUAAUCAUGUGGUGUGGCUCCACUGUCCAUGCAAUGAUGUUUACUAUCCUUGAGUUCGUGCAAACGAAUUUGUUAAUAUCUGAUAGAGUUGUGUUUGACUAGAAGAGGGAAGUCUGAGUACCUCUUGACAGAAGUUUACUCCAGCUGAUUUAUGUCUGCUGGUACUCUUAUGUGCUUGAUCUUGUGCUUUUCUGUGUAAUUACCAGAGUAGUGUGGGACUCAAAAUCAAUUAUUGUCAUAUGUGUUUAAGUGCGUGACUUAAGCUUUUAGUUCCAUGUAUGCUAGUGUUUUCUCCAUAUUUUUUCUGAAGUAUGCUCCCUUCUGGUUGGUUACUGGCAUUUUAUAAUUAGGUUUGAGUAGUUGUGUUACAUAACUUUGUGGCGAGACUUGAAAGAGUAGUAUAAUACCUGAUGAUAUGUUUAUGUGUAUGAACCAACUUCUGUGGGUUUUAUGAAUCAUUGCAAUGACUCGUGACUUUAAAGCACAUAUGUGGUGUUAUUAAAUUACUAUUAGUUUAUUAAUUGGAUAAAUAUGUUUAAUCCUUUAAUAUUUUCUCCAUUACUGAUGUUUGUCAAGGCCUUGUGUAAUGUUUUAGUCUUGGUUCUCAAGUUGGGAUAACUUAUUUCUUGAAAGGUGUUAUUCUGUUUAUGAAAAAUGAAAGAACAACGAUCCAACAAGAUUAUGUUCUAACAAUCCCAUUUCUAUAACGUGAUACCUUCACGCAAACCAAAAUUAAUUUAGAAAACAAUUGGUUAAACACCGUAGUUUGCUUAAAGCGCGAUUAAUAAAAUUAUCGUGAUUACGGGUACGGUUCCCGUGGCAUAGGUAUGAUACCUAAUUCCCAAAUUCAGGAGUGCAUUCCAUGUAACCUGAUCAUAACAACUUUGAAUUUAAAUAAAAUAAACAUGUCACGAACCGCAGGUGCAUUUCAUGUAGCGUGGUUUGCGGAGUGUUGCAAAACAAACAAGUGUACGACAAUUGUAAUUUAUUCAAGAAAUAAUUCCAUAAAUCCUAAAAAAGCGGUAAAAUAAUUAAAAGUAGUUAUAAAGUUAAAAAUGCACAAUUGUUUUAAAAUAUAUACUAAAUCAGAUAAUAGGCCAAUAUUAAUAGUUUAAGCGACCGUGCUAGAACCACAGAACCUAGGAAUAAUGUCACUUUAAUUGGAAAAACUCUCUUAUACCCCCUCGAGGGCGGUAAAAAGGAGGCGUGACAACUCUGGCGACUUUGCUGGGGAUAUAAACCCAGAACUUUCGGUUCAAGGUUCAAGAAUUCAAGCUUAGAAUAACUGUUAUUGUUGGCUUGUUUUUAUUUUCUGAUUUUUACAUGUUCGAGCCUAAUGUACUAAAUGCCGCUUUUUACAGCUUUGAUAUUGGUUGAACUGUAUAUAAAUUAUUACGAAACUCUCCUCUCCGAGCCAUCUAAAUGAUCUGGGAAGUGUGCACUUCGUUUAACUUCUUUUCUGUUAGAGUCAUAUCCUAAUUUUAGAAUGAGGUUCGGACAAGUUGCAAAGUCGGUGAAACUUCUGUAUUCCCGGUACGCUGCCCCCGGGCUCGAGCUGUCUGCUCGGGUAAGCCAGGUCUAGAACAAAUACAUCCAGGUUUUUAAACCUAGAAUAACAUAGCCUCAUGCCGGAUCCCUAGUAGGAAUGCUUGUUGCAUCACAUGCAUUUGACUUUGGGGACUCAACACAGGGGUUUGGUCCGUCUAGGAUAGGUGUAUCCGAAAUCAAAAGACCAUCCUGAUGCAUUUUACUUGUUACUUGUACAUUUAUUUGCUUUGGAUUGCAUGUUGACCGGCUUUUAGAAUAAGGGAGAAAAAUUAGAAAAAAUCAAAUUGAGUUAUGAGAGAGAUAAUUACCCGUCUUCAGAAAAUUUGGUGUCCAAAAUAUACCGAAACUUUGCCAAAAUUUUGAAAAAAAAAGAAAGGAAAAAGGGAAGGGAAAAUGGUUUCAAAACAUUUCAUGUCUUUUUAUUUUUAUUAUGUCAAAACUGACCGAACUACGCGGGUCUGAUUCUCACCGGAUGUGAGAUACAUAGGCAAAUCUCAUCGGUUCCGACCCCAAUUUUCAAAAAUCCAAAAAUAUUUUCCUUUAUUUCCUUCUUUAGAAAUCUUUCCCUAGAAAAUUCAAAAAAAAAAAUUGUUUCCUUCUUUCUGAAGUCUUUCAUAUGAAAAAAAAGAAUAAAAUAAAAAUCAAAAUUCAAAUACGGGUUUCCUUUAUUUUGAAGUAUUUUUCUCAAAAAUUCAAAAAAAAAAAUCUUUUCCUUGUUUAAAAGUCGUUCUUUCAAAAAACAAAAUUAGAAAAAUUGAAGACCAAAAAUAUUUUCGCUUUUCUUUAGAAGUGCUUUUAUAAAUAAAUAAAAACUCAGAAAUCCAAAACAUUUUCUUAAAUGUCCCUCUUUCAAAAAUUAAGAGGUAACAUCCAAAAUUAAAAAAUAUUUUCUUUCUUCUUUAUAAAAAGAGAAAACAAAUGAAAAUUCAAACAAAAAUACUUUCUUUUUACUUUUAAAAUUCCCAAAUUUCAAAUCAAAAGCAAAUGAAUUUUUAGAAGCCUUUCCCGCAAAAACAAAACAAAAAUCAAAAUCAAAAAAUCAAAAAAAAAUAUUUCCUUUCUUCUUUUAAAGCAUUUCUUUCAAAAAUUCGAACAAAAAAAAUUAGUUUACUUACUCCAUUUUCGAUCUUCCCGAACAAUGCAAUAUUUGAUUUAUGCGGUGUCAUGAUACGUAGGCAAUCCUCAUUGAAUUCGAUCAUAGUCAUAAAAUUUGCCGAGUGAAAAAUAAACUGAAAAAAAAAGAGAAAGAAAAAUUGAGUGGAAAAAAAAGAGCGACAAAAAAUAAAAGAGUGACAAAAAAAAGAGUGUGCCAAAAAAUAAAAGAGCAACAAAAACGAAAUGAAAAAAAUCAAGAGUGAUUAAGAGAGGCAGAAAUAAAAGAAAAGAGAUACAUACUGAAAGGGUUAACUAAGGUCGGGAUGAAACAUGCAACCGUUCAAACACAUGGUAGAAACGUUUAACUGUUUAGGUGCAUUGCAUCUAAACGUGUGAUUCCCUAUCUGUUAAGCGUCUCAAAACUAACAAGGUUGUUGGGUGUGCAAACUAGCCAGAUUUUGGUGGUUGGUUUUGUUGGUAGUCUAGCCUCCCCUCCUUCACAAGUUCCAAAGGCACAGAUGGCCUCCGCAAGCAAUCUACCAAUCAUCGGUCUUGAGGAUAGCCCGACAUCGGCUAUUCUACAGCUAGAAUCAGCAGCUGCUGAAGAGAAUAAGAUGCUGCAUCUCCGCAUAUUGGAAAUGUGGGACGCCUGGUCUAAUAGUAGGGAACCGCCAAGUACAAUCACUGGGUUCCCUGAGUUGAUCCCCAUGUCAAAUGAGGUCACCAAAGCCCUUGUGCCUAACCCGCUCAUCCCAUGCGGGCACCCUCCAAUGCCAUCCAAUGUUCCUGGAAUGCCUUCUAUGGUUCGCCCCCAGGCACCAGUUUCUUGAGCACCUCCAAUAUUGUUCUCUACAGCACAGUCUGCACCAGAACACAACCAACUUUACCACGACCGUAUGUUGAGCCUCAAAUGUUCACCUUUCAGCGUCCACAACUUCAAUCAGAAAUAACAUAAGUGACCCCGUACUCUUUCAUUCAACCUCCGCAAUAUGAUCUCUCGGUGGAGCAAGAAAAGGUUGUUAAAAAUCCCGAGCAAGAGGAAAUGGCUCAGAAAAUGAAGAGCCUGGAACAAAGCCUGAAAAACAUGCAAGGUCUGAGUGGUUAAAAGAGUGUCUCAUACUCUAACCUCUGUAUGUUUCCCCAUGUCCACUUGCCAACUGGCUUCAAGAUGCCAAAAUUUGAAAAGUACAACGGGUACGGAGACCUGGUUGCUCAUCUAAAACAAUACUGUAACCAGUUAAGGGGUGCUGGUGGAAAAGAGGAGCUGCUAAUGGCCUAUUUUGGGGAAAGCCUCACCGGAAUCGCUUUUGAGUAGUAUACGGAUCAAGAAAUUACUCAUUGGCAUGUGUGGGAUGAUAUGUCUUGAGAUUUUGUCCGCCAGUUCCAAUAUAGUGUGGACAUUGCUCCCGAUAGAAACUCCUUGUCCAAUUUGAAAAAGAAAACCGCGAAAAGCUUCGGCGAAUAUGCUAUCAAAUGGCAUGAGCAAGCUGCCAGGGUAAAGCCUCCAAUGGACGAAAUUGAAAUGGUCACGAUUUUUCUGCAGGUCCAAGAGGCUGACUACUACCAGAACAUGAUGUCUGUUAUGGGUAAGCCGUUCACUGAGGCUAAAAAAAUUGGGGAAAUGGUUGAAAAUAGUCUAAAAAUGGGCCAAAUCUUAAGUCAUGCUGCUUUCAAAGCCACAUCACCAGAUGUUCAAAAUGGUUCGGAGGGUUUGAUGUACAUAAAUGGGAGUGACGAGGGAGCCAUGAUGGUUUCAAGCUCGAGGGAGGCCCGCAGGUCAUUUAGCCAGUCAUAUGUGCCUCCUAUGGUCCCACCACACUAUUAUCCCCUUCAAGAUGAUGCUUAUGCUGUGGCACCACCUCCCUAUGCAGUGAUGAGUGUGUAUCUUACACCCAGCCACAACAUUAUACACAAAACCAAGCUCCACCUCCCAGAAAUGCCCAUCCUUAACAAGCUCCAUAUAAUCCUCAACCAAAUGAUCCCCAAUACAAUCCUCGCCCAAGAGAAACUUUCAGAAAGAAUUAGUUCACCCCUAUUGGUGAAUCGUAUUUAAGCUUGUUCCAAAAGCUAAUCAGGCUAGAUCUACUGCAGCCAGUGGCCCCAAACCGGCCGAACCUGAGUCCCCCUCACACCGAGAUGAUGCUAGAUAUGAAUACCACUCUGGAGCAGUACUGUUGGACCCUCAAAAGGGUAGUUGAGGAUUUGAUUGAAGCUGAAAGAAUUGUUUUUCAGGAUGAAGAAGUUCUUGAUGUGAUGAACAAUCUGUUGUCUGCACACAACAAUGGGCCAAUAGUCGGAAUGAUUUUUGAAGAUGAGAAAUUUGAUCCGGCACUGAAGGCCAUUGCAGCCAUUGCCGAGAUAGAAGAAAAGCCGAAACACGGUCGCCAAUCUUGAAAGUUCCCUAUCAAAUAGGAGUCUCGGUAGCCAGUUUUGCUAUCCUUUCUGCAUCCGAAUUAUCUCAGGGUGUGAUCCGGAUGUUUUACCUUAUUGUCUUACUUUCUGAUGUAAACCCUUCUAUCUUCAAAAAAUUAAAAACAAAAAAAAAUCAAAUGAAAUUAAUAUUUCAUUGUGCAGGAAUGUCUCUUUUCUUAAUCUUAUCAUUUUUCUUUCUUAUUCUUUUUUAGUUCUGUUAAAUGCAGAUUUCAAUAACAUGACAUGCUAGCGGAUUUCAUGCCCAGAUCCU
rnacentral:lncRNA from 1 species